UCCGCGAUAGCUCAGCUGGUAGAUCAUCUGCCCGGUGUGCGGAGGGCUGCCGGUUCGAUUCCGGCUCGCGGUG
rnacentral:tRNA from 1 species